CUCCCACAAAUUCAGGCCUAAUGGCCUUUCUACAUAUAUAUAUAAGAUAGAUAGAUAGAUACUAUAUAUAUAUAUAUAUAUAUAUAUGUAGAAAGGCUAUUAGGCCUGAAUUUGUGGGAG